GUCUAUGACCAUGCUACCCUGAACAAGCCUAAUCUCAUCUGAUCUCAGAAGCUAAGUAGGCUCGGACCUGAUUAGUACUUGGAUGGGAGACCACCUAGGAGGACAAGGUACUGUAGGUG
rnacentral:rRNA from 1 species